rnacentral:rRNA from 1 species
AAGCAUAUCAAUAAGCGGAGGAAAAGAAACCAACCGGGAUUGCCUCAGUAACGGCGAGUGAAGCGGCAAGAGCUCAAAUUUGAAAGCUGGCUCCUUCGGGGUCCGCAUUGUAAUUUGCAGAGGAUGCUUCGGGUGCAGCCCCCGUCUAAGUGCCCUGGAACGGGCCGUCAUAGAGGGUGAGAAUCCCGUAUGGGGCGGGGUGUCUGCGUCCGUGUGAAGCUCCUUCGACGAGUCGAGUUGUUUGGGAAUGCAGCUCUAAAUGGGUGGUAAAUUUCAUCUAAAGCUAAAUACUGGCCGGAGACCGAUAGCGCACAAGUAGAGUGAUCGAAAGAUGAAAAGCACUUUGAAAAGAGAGUUAAACAGCACGUGAAAUUGUUGAAAGGGAAGCGCUUGCAACCAGACUCGCUCGCGGGGUUCAGCCGGGCUUCGGCCCGGUGUACUUCCCCGCGGGCGGGCCAGCGUCGGUUUGGGCGGCCGGUCAAAGGCCUCCGGAAUGUAGCGCCCUUCGGGGCGCCUUAUAGCCGGGGGUGCAAUGCGGCCAGCCUGGACCGAGGAACGCGCUUCGGCACGGACGCUGGCAUAAUGGUUGUAAACGACCCGUCUUGUAACACGGACCAAGGAGUCUAACAUCUACGCGAGUGUUCGGGUGUCAAACCCGUACGCGCAGUGAAAGCGAACGGAGGUGGGAGCCCCCUCGCGGGGCGCACCAUCGACCGAUCCUGAUGUCUUCGGAUGGAUUUGAGUACGAGCGUAGCUGUGGGGACCCGAAAGAUGGUGAACUAUGCCUGAAUAGGGCGAAGCCAGAGGAAACUCUGGUGGAGGCUCGCAGCGGUUCUGACGUGCAAAUCGAUCGUCAAAUUUGGGUAUAGGGGCGAAAGACUAAUCGAACCAUCUGGUAGCUGGUUCCUGCCGAAGUUUCCCUCAGGAUAGCAGUAACGCGGAUCAGUUUUAUGAGGUAAAGCGAAUGAUUAGAGGCAUUGGGGUUGAAACAACCUUAACCUAUUCUCAAACUUUAAAUAUGUAAGAAGCGCUUGUUGCUUAGUUGAACGUGCGCAUUAGAAUGGAGCGUUACUAGUGGGCCAUUUUUGGUAAGCAGAACUGGCGAUGCGGGAUGAACCGAACGCGAGGUUAAGGUGCCGGAAUGCACGCUCAUCAGACACCACAAAAGGUGUUAGUUCAUCUAGACAGCCCGACGGUGGCCAUGGAAGUCGGAAUCCGCUAAGGAGUGUGUAACAACUCACGGGCCGAAUGAACUAGCCCUGAAAAUGGAUGGCGCUCAAGCGUGCUACCCAUACCUCGCCGUCGGGGUAGAAACGAUGCCCCGACGAGUAGGCAGGCGUGGAGGUCCGUGACGAAGCCUUGGGCGUGAGCCCGGGUCGAACGGCCUCUAGUGCAGAUCUUGGUGGUAGUAGCAAAUACUCAAAUGAGAACUUUGAGGACUGAAGUGGGGAAAGGUUCCAUGUGAACAGCAGUUGGACAUGGGUUAGUCGAUCCUAAGGCAUAGGGAAGUUCCGUUUGAAAGGCGCCCUCGUGCGCCGUGUGCCGAAAGGGAAGCCGGUUAACAUUCCGGCACCUGGAUGUGGAUUCUCCACGGCAACGUAACUGAACGCGGAGACGUCGGCGGGAGUCCUGGGAAGAGUUCUCUUUUCUUCUUGACAGCCUAUCACCCUGAAAUCGGUUUGUCCGGAGCUAGGGUUCCAUGGCUGGCAGAGCCCCGCACCUUUGCGGGGUCCGGUGCGCUCCCGACGACCCUUGAAAAUCCGCGGGAAGGAAUAGUUUUCACGCCAGGUCGUACUCAUAACCGCAGCAGGUCUCCAAGGUGAACAGCCUCUAGUUGAUAGAACAAUGUAGAUAAGGGAAGUCGGCAAAAUGGAUCCGUAACUUCGGGAUAAGGAUUGGCUCUAAGGGU